rnacentral:rRNA from 1 species
GAUGAACGCUAGCGACAGGCUUAACACAUGCAAGUCGCGGGGCAGCAUGGGGGUUGCUUGCGAACCCUGAUGGCGACCGGCGCACGGGUGCGUAACGCGUAUCCAACCUGCCCUUCACACCGGGAUAACCCGGCGAAAGUCGGACUAAUACCGUGUGUUGUCCAUUGAGGGCAUCCGAUAUGGACGAAAAGCAUGUCGGUGUAAGGCUGGGGAUGCGUCCGAUGAGCUGUACGGCGGGGAACCGGCCCACCGAGGCAACGAUCGGUAGGGGAGCUGAUAGGAAGUUCCCCCACACUGGAACUGAGACACGGUCCAGACUCCUACGGGAGGCAGCAGUGAGUAAUAUUGGUCAAGGGGCGUUAGCCUGAACCAGCCAAGUAGCGUGCAGGAUGACUGCCCUAUGGGUUGUAAACUGCUUUUAUGCGGGGAUAAAAAGGCCCACGUGUGAGCUUUUGCAGGUACCGCAUGAAUAAGGACCGGCUAACUCCGUG